rnacentral:sRNA from 1 species
UGACGGCGGGGCUCCUCUUUAGUGCGC